CAAAAACAAGGAAUGGAGAUGUAGACUUCAAAUUCAGUUUGACAAAUAAUAAAGAACUUAAAUUAGAAUUGAAGACAGACCCCAGUCGUAAGAUUUGUCAAUAUUUUGGUUAGGCCUUAUUACCUUUUCAAUGGAUCUCUGAUUAUGCAAGGUCUGGUUUGGCAAGGUACAGUAGACUUCGAGGCAUUAAUCUGAAAUGUAACUCCAUGGUAAGACAAGAUGGC